GGAGAGGUGGCCGAGCGGCUGAAGGCGCUCCCCUGCUAAGGGAGUAUGGGGUGACACUCAUCGAGGGUUCGAAUCCCUCCCUCUCCGCCA
rnacentral:tRNA from 1 species